UACGAAGGGGGCUAGCGUUGCUCGGAAUCACUGGGCGUAAAGGGUGCGUAGGCGGGUCUUUAAGUCAGGGGUGAAAUCCUGGAGCUCAACUCCAGAACUGCCUUUGAUACUGAAGAUCUUGAGUUCGGGAGAGGUGAGUGGAACUGCGAGUGUAGAGGUGAGAUUCGUAGAUAUUCGCAAGAACACCAGUGGCGAAGGCGGCUCACUGGCCCGGUACUGACGCUGAGGUGCGAAAGCGUGGGGAGCAAACAGG
rnacentral:rRNA from 1 species